ensembl:lncRNA
CUUUAUAUAUAUGAGCAGUAGUUUUACUGCAGUGAGCAGAAAUUCACCCUUAAAGUGGGCCAAUGGAGUGAAGAAAUUAAAGAACCAUGGAUUAGAGCUCUCGUGAAAUUUUGGGCUGCAGUUACCAAAGCUUUCAUAGAAAUGGGUAGAUUUCUGCAAGCUGAAGAGAAGUUCAGGUAUAUCUAAAUAAAGAAAUAUUUAGGUCAACAUUUCAGACUUUAAAUCAAAAAAACAUCUCCUGACGACCUUGAGUUAAAGUCUACAGAAUUUAUUUUAAUCUCUCCUCAUUUGUUUUCCCUUCUGACCUUUGUAUGAUAAAGAUUUAGGGGUUAUAUAUAUAUAUAAAUAUAUAUAUAUAGUGCAACUGGUGAAUAAACAACUUUUAGCUGUGAUUUCAGCAAUUCCAUUAUCUGUUAAGACUUUUUUUUUUUUUAUUAGAUAAUUUAGCCAUACUUUCUCUAAACAUUAACCCUAAUGACUGUGUUUGAAACCAUCAUCUGCACCCUGACUGAGAAGUCACUCGAGCCACGAAUGGAUGCAAUCAUUUAACGGGAAUGUGCCUAAUUUUGGAAUUACUGGCAUCUGUACAUCAUUUCGGUGGUAAAUUACGGUUGGGAUAUGUUAACCCCAAAGUCAUCAUAAGGAGACUCAGAAACAGUUCAUGAUUUCCUGUGAUGAGAAACUUGUUUUCAUAUCCUGAAUGGAUUUUCAUAUCUUUGGAAGAAAAUCUUUCUUGUGUACAUACACAUUCUUCAUGUGAUCAAAGUGAGGUCCUGUUCCCUUCAGCUGCCUUCUGGACAUCACUGCCUCUCUGGUGGAACAGCAGAACAGAUGUUAACUACAGCAGUUGCUCUCAGUAAAUGGCUCACUUUCUGUAGUGGCUCAUCUACCUUCUGGCUGAGCAGAAGAACAAUCUGAUAUCAAUUGUAAUGCCAUCCUCAAAGCCAUCCUUCAAAUGUGUGGAGUGGGAGAAGUGAAGGGUAUGCAACAGACAGGCUCUCAUUUCUCAGCUGCUUUUUGUCUUCACUCACUGCUCCUUCCUCGUCAGUCAGCCACUUGCUGCCCUCAUCUCACACAGAAACCCCAGGAAAACCUUCCCAUGCAUUCCCUAGCAGGGGAUGCUCUCGUAGUCCAAACAUGAAUGUUGCCAGAGCCACAACCUGUUCCUUGUUCAGCUCAGCACAGCACAUCUAAGCAGAUGGAGACAGCUGCAACAUGAGAGUUGCACAAAACCCAAGAAGAAAUGAGCAAGAACGUACCAUCCAGCAGCAGCCCUGCAAAUAGGGAAAAGGGAGAAGCAAGUCUUGGGUUCUUGUCCCAUCUUCAGGGAUGGUUCAUGGAUUUUACAUUGAAAAAUGAUAGAAUAAAUGAUAAAAAAGAAGAAGAAGAAGAAGAAGAAGAAGAUGACAGAAGAAUCAAAUCUGGGAGUGGAAACAAGAUGUUCUCCUUCCAGGAAGAAGGAAGAAAGGAAGAGAGGGCCUGGGUUUAUUUUGCUUUCCUAACCCCAGAUGUCUUGUCCACUGUAACCACCAGCCUGUAGGAGAACCUACGAAGCAGCCCAAACCUGAAAUGGGGCCAACUUACAAGAAGUAAAUAAGGAUUCUUCAGUUCCAAAAGACAGCUCACCUAUGCAACACUGGCAUACUACAGUGGCUGCUCCAAAAGUAAUGCUUCCCAUUUUAUUUUGUUGGCAAACUAUGACAGAGACAGACAUUGAUACUAUGGCAGUACAGGUUGAACCUUUCCCCCGAUAUUCCAUUACAUUUUGUUGUUGUGCAACAGAUGGAAGCAGAGGGGCAGUCUGACAAAAUGGUGUCUUACAUGGAAGUAUGUGUGAAGCAAAGGUGUGUCACUGAAUUCCUCCAUGUGGAAAAAGCAUACUGACAUUCAUUAACGCUUGCUGAAUGUUUCUGGAGACCAAACAGUGGAUGUGAGCACAGUGAGGAGGUGGGUAGUGUGUUUUAACAGUGGUGUCAGCAACAUGGAAGACAAGUCAUGUUCCGAUGGCCACGCCCAGCUGUCACACCAUGAAAUGAAGAGUGGUUUUAUCAGCUCAUCCACACAGGAAUCAGCUAAUGGUGGUGAUUAUGCAGAAAAAUAGUGUUUUGUAGAGAAGAGUUUGCUUUAUCAAACACUAUUACCGUGCUCUUUGUAUCUGUUGCAGUUUCUAUAGAAAUAAAUAGGAGGCAUUACCUCAGAGCAGCCGAUGUACAUACCACUGAAAAAUUUCAUUGCCUCAAACUUUGAUGUAUUGCUAUAAGUUGUUUUCCAAAUCAAGAGAAAACAAAACAAGAAUCUCUCCUCAAUGACUCCACACUGCCCUGCACCACAUACAGUUCCUGAGCAGCAGACGGUUCCUAGGGGACCUUGGUUGCACGAUAAGUGCUGGUGCUAUGAAUUGUUGCAAUGGGUUACAGAGUAAUCUCAACUUUUGUUUGCAGGAGGGAGUCUGGUAGCCCAAGCUUUUGAGGGUGAUAUUAUUUCCUUGAUUCUAUGAUUCGACUGCAUGGCUAAUCCAGUCUGACCUUGUAAUGGACAGGUGGGAGUCCUAAUGAGCCAUCAUCAGCUCCUCCUGAGAGCUUCCACUUCCCUCAGUCUAUCUGCAUUAGUAGCAUUUGUGUGUGUUGUGGCCUCCAGCCAUAUGAAGAUUUCAGUGAGCAGCUCACAGAGGCAAAGAAGGUAGCAUCCACAAAAAGUGGAGAUACUCAGGAGUAAGUAUAGACACCUGGCUCCCAGUCCUUGCUUCACUGGUUGGUUUAUGUAUUUAAAAUACAUUUUUAUCUUAUAUUUAACAUCUACGUUAGAAAUCUUACAUAAACCAGUCACUGGAGCAGGGGCUGAGAUUCAGGUGUCUCUGGCCCUCAGUGAAUGUUCCUGCUAUGCAGCAUACAGCUCCUUAGGUGAUACAGGCAGAGGAACAUGCUUGUGGAACCUGUCAGGCAUAAAUUAGACAUGGGGAAUUCAGCUCUGCUGUCACUGAAAGACUCCUAGACAUACCGAGAAACAUCAGGCACUUGGUUUAAUGCUGAAAGCAGAGGACUUAUUGGUAGCUGAAAAAUAUUUGGAUGCAGGCACCUUAAGAUCAAUCAUGUAUUUUUAAAAUCUUACUAAAUACUUAUUUGCAUCUUUAGGUACCUAAGUAACUGCAACAGUUUGAUUUCAGGUCAAUUUAAAUACUUGUGCUUCUUGCAUGUUAUUUUAAGACUUUUCCCUUAAUAAUUUUUUUUCCACUCUAAAAGUGGUUUCCUAAUGCGACUCAGAGGGAGACUGUCAUUAGUAAGUCAUUAAUGAGCCUGUAACUUUGAUUGUGUUCAUUACAUGUCAAGUAAGAAUUAUUUCAAUGAAGUAAAUUACUUUUUUUUUUGCCUAAUCAGUAGGACAAGAAUUCAUGCUCAGCAUCCCUUUACUCUGAGAGAUUUGAUCCUUUUGUUUGAAAUAUGUUAGCUACAACUGUUACUUUCAACCUAUAUUUCUGGUUCUCAGCUAUUAAAACAGAAAUGUAUUUUGUUUGUCUGACCAGGAAAAGGCACUUUGAAAAUAUCUGUCCUAUUGCCUAGGCUGCCUCACUAAGGGGUUGUGCUCACACUUAUAAAUUACAAAAACAGAAGAAAAAAAGAAGAAAACAUAAAACUCUACUGUACAUAAGCAAUUAUUUAAAAAUAAUCAUUUUCUGCUAGCAUUUUUUGGCAGCAUGCGCUCUGAGACACGCGAUAAUAUGGAACUAGCCCAAAGACACUGCUGCAUGUUAGUAAAUAUCACGUGAGUUUUCAGGGUCAUCACCCAGGACUGUCACAAAACAGGUUAUGUCAGAGGCAAGCUGAGCAUCAGCUUUGAAAUUCCUGUUUGAUUAACUGGUGACCUUCUUGAGCCUUCUGCAGAAUAUAUUUAAGCAUUAGAAAGAAAAUAGAUGAUGAGAAAGUCCAUGAAAAUACUCUGUCUUUAUAGGUGCAGUAGCUGGAUCAUACAGUGAAAUGAAAACCUAUGGGAAGUUGGGCCCCAUCCUGCAAAUAUUCAUAUAUUAACUGAAUUUUGUUUCUUCCAACCCCCAGGGGACAGGACAGCACUCCAGCUCCUUCACACUGAGGCAGAGCUUUUCUGAAGGACUCAAGUCUGCAUUUGCACGCCUCAUUUUCUCAUAGUUCAACUUUGCUCCAUGACUUGUUUGUACAACAAAGGUAAGCAUGAAAUAGGCCUUGCUCCAGAGGAGGGUGUUUCUAAGGUAUUGCUUAUAUACAUAUGAAUAAACACAGUAUAUUAAUUUUCUGUAGACUAGCAUUAUGUUCAUUAUUGCAGUAAAAACUUAUGCAGAAUGUAAACUCUCAGAUGUGAUAAAACAGUAUCACCCUUUGAAGACUAGUUUCACAUUGAAUACACUGUAUUUUUAAAAGCUGUUAAAUUACGUGUCAGUUGUAAACAUUCUUUGACUAUCCUGCAGCUAAAACAAGAUGGAAGUUUACAUUUAAAAUAAGGAACAAAUCCCUGAAUAUUUCACCCUCAACCUUGUAAGCAGCUCCAUGGUGCCAGGAUGCAUUACCUUCACCUGGAAUCCACCAGAUCACAGUAAUCCAUAUAUCAUAGAACCAUGGAAUGGUUUGGGUUGGAAGGGACCUUUAGGAUCAUCUAGUUCCACUCCCCUUCAAUAGGCAGGGACACCUCCCCCUAGACCAGGUCGCUCACAGCCCCAUCCAGCCUGGCCUUGAAUGCUUCCAGGGAGGGGGCAUUCACAACCUCUCUGGACAACCUGUUUCACUGUCUCACCACGUUCACAGUAAAGAAUUUCUUCCUAAUAUCUAGUCUAAAUCUACAUUUUUCCAGUUUAAAACCACUUCCCCUCAUCCUGUCACUACAUGCCCUUACAAAAAGUCCCUCCCCAGUGCAUAUAUGUGUAUUGAUAAAAGAUAUACCCACAAAAAAUCCUAUUAAAAAGUUAUAGAAGAAGGAUUCAGCCACACCCUUUCUUUCCCAAAUCAGAAUAUUACUCUUUUAUUGCAGCAAGACCACUCUAGUAUGUCAGUGGAAAUUUUCAUGAAUUGAUAUAUUUGAUGAAGGUCCUCUUCAUCAAAUGGAUCCUCUCCUCAGUGUAGGACUUCAAUUUUGUUCAGUGCAUACUGCAAUCAUCCCAUUAUGAAAAAAAGAUUCUUGAAAAUGUGAAUGAAAUGAAGCUGAUGCAGUGUUGGUGUUGUGAGUAUGCCUGUACUUAACCUCAAAGUAGCAUUAUUUACUGCUUUCCUGCUGAAAAACUGGAUAAAAGUUGAUGUAACUCAUACAUCAAUUACAUUUCAGUGCCACUUAGACUAUCAAAAUCACUGAGUCAGUGAGACAACUCACAUGAAAAUAUCUUUUGCUAGAUGGUUAGGGUUACAUGACAAACUUAUCAUUUUCAAAACUUUAAAUUGGAUUUCAUGUCAUAUUUAUUGUGAACUGCCAAUGAAGUCAGAAAAAUACCUGUUUAAAAAAAACCCAUACUUCUACGCUCUCCAAUAGACAGACAACCAUAGAUUGCAAACUACUGGUCUUCAUCUAAUCUACCCAGAAUUUAGAUGACCUAGAGGUGAUGAGAAUUGUUUGGUAAUGUUUUAAAAUGUUUUGGGAAAUAUUUGUAAAAUUAUUUGAGUUCCUAAGAGAGAAAAGUGUCACUACUGUCCAAACUGUUGCUGUUAUGUAUAGAUACUAAUUGCAGUGUGUUUCACAAACAGGUGAAACUCAACUGUAUUGGUUAAAGUAACAUUCACAAACGAGAGAUACAAAAAUGUAGAUAGAGCUAUCCAAAUAUGUUGUGCAAAGCCAAAAGAAUU